AUUGAACGCUGGCGGCAUGCUUUACACAUGCAAGUCGAACGGCAGCGGGGUAGUGCUUGCACUACUGCCGGCGAGUGGCGCACGGGUGAGUAAUAUAUCGGAACGUACCGAGUAAUGGGGGAUAACCAAUCGAAAGAUUGGCUAAUACCGCAUACGUCCUGAGGGAGAAAGCGGGGGAUCGCAAGACCUCGCGUUAUUCGAGCGGCCGAUAACUGAUUAGCUAGUUGGUGGGGUAAAGGCCUACCAAGGCGACGAUCAGUAGCGGGUCUGAGAGGACGAUCCGCCACACUGGGACUGAGACACGGCCCAGACUCCUACGGGAGGCAGCAGUGGGGAGUUUUGGACAAUGGGGGCAACCCUGAUCCAGCCAUGCCGCGUGUAUGAAGAAGGCCUUCGGGUUGUAAAGUACUUUUGUUAGGGAAGAAAAGGGAAGUGCUAAUACCACUUUUUGCUGACGGUACCUAAAGAAUAAGCACCGGCUAACUACGUG
rnacentral:rRNA from 1 species